UUUGAGAAAAUAGAGGCAGAAAGAGGGCGCGUGACCCACCACUUGUCUGGGUCGAGACAGGAGCGGGUGCCAGCCCAGGAGGGAAGGCGUGACACUACGCCUGGUAAUGGGCAUUCGGGCUAGGAUGCCACACUGUCCCUGACCUCCCAGUUCCCAGUGGGAGACAUCUGCAAGGCUUUGUGUUCUCAAAGAAGAGGAGCUUAGGACACAGGCACCCACACGGGAAAGACCAUGUGAAGUCACAGGGAGAAGACGACCAUCUCUAAACCAAGGAGAGAGGCGUCUGAAGAAGCCCAGCCCCUGACCCCUUGAUCUCAAGACCCACAGUCUCCUGAAUGG